rnacentral:rRNA from 1 species
CCUUGUACACACCGCCCGUCACGCCAUGGGAGUUGGCAGUACCCGAAGUCGAUGACCCAACCUCGUGAAGGAGUCGCCGAAGGUAAGGCCGAUGACUGGGGCG